rnacentral:rRNA from 1 species
AUACGUAGGUGACAAGCGUUAUCCGGAUUUACUGGGCGUAAAGGGCGUGUAGGCGGUCUUGCAAGUCAGAAGUGAAAUUCCUGAGCUCAACUCGGGCGCUGCUUCUGAAACUGCAGGACUUGAGUGCUGGAGGGGAUAGCGGAAUUCCUAGUGGAGCGGUAAAAUGCGCAGAUAUUAGGAAGAACACCGGUGGCGAAGGCGGCGAUCUGGACAGUAACUGACGCUGAGGCGCGAAAGCGUGGGGAGCAAACAGGAUUAGAUACCCUGGUAGUCCACGCCGUAACCGAUGAAUACUAGGUGUAGGGGGUAUCGACUCCCUCUGUGCCGCAGUUAACACAAUAAGUAUUCCGCCUGGGGAGUACGGCCGCAAGGUUGAAACUCAAAUGAAUUGACGGGG